rnacentral:rRNA from 1 species
CCUACGGGUGGCAGCAGCAAGGAAUUUUCCGCAAUGGGCGAAAGCCUGACGGAGCAACGCCGCGUGGGGGAUGAAGCUUUUCGGAGUGUAAACCCCUUUUCUUGGGGACGAAGAAGUGACGGUACCCGAGGAAUAAGGACCGGCUAACUACGUGCCAGCAGCCGCGGUAAUACGUAGGGUCCAAGCGUUGUCCGGAGUUACUGGGCGUAAAGCGCGCGCAGGUGGCUGCGUAAGUCCGGCGUGAAAGCCCCCGGCUCAACCGGGGAGGGUCGUUGGAGACUGCGUGGCUUGAGGGCGGCAGGGGCAGGUGGAAUUCCCGGUGUAGUGGUGAAAUGCGUAGAGAUCGGGAGGAACACCCGUGGCGAAGGCGGCCUGCUGGGCCGACCCUGACACUGAGGCGCGAAGGCGUGGGGAGCGAACGGGAUUAGAUACCCCAGUAGUC